rnacentral:rRNA from 1 species
GAUGAACGCUGGCGGCGUGCCUAAUACAUGCAAGUCGAGCGAAUGGAUUAAGAGCUUGCUCUUAUGAAGUUAGCGGCGGACGGGUGAGUAACACGUGGGUAACCUGCCCAUAAGACUGGGAUAACUCCGGGAAACAGGGGCUAAUACCGGAUAACAUUUUGAACCGCAUGGUUCGAAAUUGAAAGGCGGCUUCGGCUGUCACUUAUGGAUGGACCCGCGUCGGAUUAGCUAGUUGGUGAGGUAACGGCUCACCAAGGCAACGAUGCGUAGCCGACCUGGGAGGGUGAUCGGCCACACUGGGACUGAGACACGGCCCAGACUCCUACGGGAGGCAGCAGUAGGGAAUCUUCCGCAAUGGACGAAAGUCUGACGGAGCAACGCCGCGUGAGUGAUGAAGGCUUUCGGGUCGUAAAACUCUGUUGUUAGGGAAGAACAAGUGCUAGUUGAAUAAGCUGGCACCUUGACGGUACCUAACCAGAAAGCCACGGCUAACUACGUGCCAGCCGCCGCAGUAA